rnacentral:rRNA from 1 species
UACGAAGGGGGCUAGCGUUGUUCGGAAUCACUGGGCGUAAAGCGCACGUAGGCGGAUUCUUAAGUCAGGGGUGAAAUCCCGAGGCCCAACCUCGGAACCGCCUUUGAUACUGGGGAUCUCGAGUCCGGGAGAGGUGAGUGGAAUUGCGAGUGUAGAGGUGAAAUUCGUAGAUAUUCGCAAGAACACCAGUGGCGAAGGCGGCUCACUGGCCCGGAACUGACGCUGAGGUGCGAAAGCGUGGGGAGCAAACAGG